GAUGAACGCUGGCGGCGUGCUUAACACAUGCAAGUCGAACGGAAAGGCCCAAGCUUGCUUGGGUCCUCGAGUGGCGAACGGGUGAGUAACACGUGGGUGAUCUGCCCUGCACUUCGGGAUAAGCCUGGGAAACUGGGUCUAAUACCGGAUAGGACGAUGGUUUGGAUGCCAUUGUGGAAAGUUUUUUCGGUGUGGGAUGAGCUCGCGGCCUAUCAGCUUGUUGGUGGGGUAAUGGCCUACCAAGGCGUCGACGGGUAGCCGGCCUGAGAGGGUGUACGGCCACAUUGGGACUGAGAUACGGCCCAGACUCCUACGGGAGGCAGCAGUGGGGAGUAUUGCACAAUGGGCGCAAGCCUGAUGCAGCGACGCCGCGUGGGGGAUGACGGCCUUCGGGUUGUAAACUCCUGUCGCUAGGGACGAAGCGUUUUUGUGACGGUACCUGGAGAAGAAGCACCGGCUAACUACGUG
rnacentral:rRNA from 1 species